UUGCUUUCUCCGCCGGCGACCGGCGCACGGGUGAGUAACACGUAUGCAACCUGCCCCUGUCAGGGGGACAACCCGCCGAAAGGCGGGCUAAACCCGCGUACAUGCCACCGGGGCAUCCCGGAGGCAGGAAAGGCUUUCGGCCGGACAGGGAUGGGCAUGCGGCGCAUUAGGCAGUAGGCGGGGUAACGGCCCACCUAACCGACGAUGCGUAGGGGUUCUGAGAGGAAGGUCCCCCACACUGGUACUGAGACACGGACCAGACUCCUACGGAAGGCAGCAG
rnacentral:rRNA from 1 species